AUUGAACGCUGGCGGCAGGCUUAACACAUGCAAGUCGAACGAGUGGCGGACGGGUGAGUAAUGUCUGGGAAACUGCCCGAUGGAGGGGGAUAACUACUGGAAACGGUAGCUAAUACCGCAUACCAUCGGAUGUGCCCAGAUGGGAUUAGCUAGUAGGUGGGGUAACGGCUCACCUAGGCGACGAUCCAUAGCGGGUCUGAGAGGAUGACCAGCCACACUGGGACUGUGACACGGUCCAGACUCCUACGGGAGGCAGCAGUGGGGCUUAUUGCGCAAUGGGCGCAGGCCUGAUGAAGCCAUGCCGCGUGUAUGAAGAAGGCCUUCGGGUUGUAAAGUACUUUCGGCGAGGAGGCGUUACUCGCAGAAGAAGCACCGGCUAACUCCGUGCCAGCCGCCGCGGUAAUAC
rnacentral:rRNA from 1 species